rnacentral:tRNA from 1 species
GCCUGGCUAGCUCAGUGGGUAGAGCAUGAGACUCUUACUCUCAGGGUCGUGGGUUCAUGCCCCACAUUGGGUG